UGGCGGCAGGCCUAACACAUGCAAGUCGAGCGGUAGCACAGGGAGCUUGCUCCUGGGUGACGAGCGGCGGACGGGUGAGUAAUGUCUGGGAAACUGCCUGAUGGAGGGGGAUAACUACUGGAAACGGUAGCUAAUACCGCAUAACGUCUUCGGACCAAAGAGGGGGACCUUCGGGCCUCUUGCCAUCAGAUGUGCCCAGAUGGGAUUAGCUAGUAGGUGAGGUAAUGGCUCACCUAGGCGACGAUCCCUAGCUGGUCUGAGAGGAUGACCAGCCACACUGGAACUGAGACACGGUCCAGACUCCUACGGGAGGCAGCAGUGGGGAAUAUUGCACAAUGGGCGCAAGCCUGAUGCAGCCAUGCCGCGUGUAUGAAGAAGGCCUUCGGGUUGUAAAGUACUUUCAGCGAGGAGGAAGGCAUUGUGGUUAAUAACCGCAGUGAUUGACGUUACUCGCAGAAGAAGCACCGGCUAACUCCGUGCCAGCAGCCGCGGUAAUACGGAGGGUGCAAGCGUUAAUCGGAAUUACUGGGCGUAAAGCGCACGCAGGCGGUCUGUCAAGUCGGAUGUGAAAUCCCCGGGCUCAACCUGGGAACUGCAUUCGAAACUGGCAGGCUAGAGUCUUGUAGAGGGGGGUAGAAUUCCAGGUGUAGCGGUGAAAUGCGUAGAGAUCUGGAGGAAUACCGGUGGCGAAGGCGGCCCCCUGGAC
rnacentral:rRNA from 1 species